rnacentral:ncRNA from 1 species
CCGCCUCGCUAGGGGUCCUGGUGCGCGCGUCAAAGCGCGUUGCCGGGUGAGAGAUACCCUUCGUACCUGAUCUGGAUAAUGCCAGCGAAGGAAAGCGCAACGCAGUGCCC